AGUUUUCUUUCUUCUGUCUUUGGGACCCUUGAUCUUGCCACCAUCGUCGAUCCCCGACGCCGGCCAACAUGCCUCUAGCUCCACCUAGUUUUAGCUCUCCACAAAGUUUCAACCGGGGACAAGAGGAAUCUUUUGCAGUGUUACAUGCUGUCAUAAUUUCUCUGAUUACUACCGUAAUUUACUCAGAGGAUGAAAUGGAAUUGAACAGAAACAUGCAGCCUCAGCUGUGGUAAACUCUACCUAAGCAGAAUAUUUAAAUUGGAAUAACUUAAGGAGGUCCAAGUAACACAUUUGUACUAUGUAAGUGAAUGGAAUAAAUGCUUAAAGUAUGUAUUAUCAUGUGGUAUUUAAGAUAAUUGAAGCACACAUCUUGCUUUCUCAUGUUAUAGAAAUUUGGAGGGAUCAAAUCUGGUGCUGGCUUGCAUUUUUGUCAACCUGCUCUGUAUUACAGAGUUAAGAAGAUGGAAAUCAUGAGAUGAGUAGGUUUAAGUUUCUUCAACCUUACAAUCCUUUAAAAAUGAAAAAACAAAGUCAUUCCAAGUCUUCUUAAUAUAUCUGGAGCCAUUUCUUUUCCAAAUUACGCUAUAUCAGAAUAUUCAACCGGCAUAGUAGUUCCUUUUUAUCUUUAGCUUGUUAGUAUUUUCAUUUCUAAUUAUAGUCAGUGUUAGAAACUAAAUCUAGAUUUUUUUGCUGAACCUUAUUUUCAUGUUUUACUUAUUCUGUGAAGCGGUACUCAUUUCACCUGGUGUUGGGACAGUUGGGACACAAAUUGUAUGUAGGUCAGUUUAUCAGUAAACUUGUCUUUAAAGCCAGUGUUAGUGACCAUAAUUUCCAGUCCGUUUAUUUGGCCCACAUAACUACAAGGCCAAUUUAAGUUUGGGUUUGAUGUUCUGCAUAAUCUUAUUACCGUUGUUUGGGAAUUAUUUCAUUCACCAUGUGGGCUGUGUUCAUGGGAAGGCUGUUCUCUGGUUGUUGCAAGAAAAUGUUCUCUGCUUUGGUCUUUUAGGAACUUGGACAUCGAAGAAAACAGUCUCUAGGGAAUGAGGCAAUUGGCUUCCCUGUCUGAAGUUGGUUGGAUGCUAGAUAAGUUAUUACUAUAUGAAAAGGAAAGUUUACCUCAUCUUACUUUGCUCCGUUAAUAAAAUCCUUUCCUUUCAUUUACAUACUUCCAGGAAGGGAUGUAGUGGAGUAAAAAUUGUGAGAUCUUUAUUUGGCUUCAACAGUUAAGAGCGUGCUGAUGGAGAUUUUUCUUUAUCAGUUUUUACCUUUGCUUGUUCCUUCUUCUAUGCCCUCUCUCAU